CUCCUCUUCUUAAAAAGUCAGAUAGUAAUCAGAUUUUGGUUUUGUUUUUUGCUUAACUGUAUUCCUAUCUUUGCCUAAUUUUCUUAAAUAUAUUUAUACUGAAUAUUAUCACCUUGUAUUUGGGAUUUAAAGCCUUCCACGUUAAUGAGUUGUUCCUAUCAUCUGCCUUUUCAUAUUUUGCUUUUUUCUUUCAGAAAUGUUUUUGUUAUAGAACUCUGCUACUUCAUAGCAUUUGGAUGGUUUGAAAGUAUUAGCUGUGUUUUCUAUAUUACUGUAGUUGUUAGGUAUGUUCUUUUUCUAAAGUACUGGAACUUAUCUGGCAGGAAAUACAGAUUUAGUAGAGAAUAACUGAUACAACUGCCUAUCCAGUUCCUACUUUUUGUGUGUUUCUAAUGUAUAGUCAAUUUGGUUUGGAUUUUUUUUGUAUCUAGCAAACUAAGGUUUACAUACACAUCUUUUCUAUCGUAAAAGGAACCCUUACCAAUAACCAUACAUUUUAAUUGUUACUGUAGGUUCUGACAAUUAUAUACAACAAAUGCAGUUUCCUUAGUGUUUCUGUUUAUUUCGUUAAGAAAAUACUUAAAUGAUGAUGGAUAAUUCAUAUAUUCUAUUAAUGAGUAAGGCAAAAAAUCCUU
rnacentral:lncRNA from 1 species